GAUGAACGCUGGCGGCGUGCCUAAUACAUGCAAGUCGAGCGAACGGAUUAAGAGCUUGCUCUUAUGAAGUUAGCGGCGGACGGGUGAGUAACACGUGGGUAACCUGCCCAUAAGACUGGGAUAACUCCGGGAAACCGGGGCUAAUACCGGAUAAUAUUUUGAACUGCAUAGUUCGAAAUUGAAAGGCGGCUUCGGCUGUCACUUAUGGAUGGACCCGCGUCGCAUUAGCUAGUUGGUGAGGUAACGGCUCACCAAGGCAACGAUGCGUAGCCGACCUGAGAGGGUGAUCGGCCACACUGGGACUGAGACACGGCCCAGACUCCUACGGGAGGCAGCAGUAGGGAAUCUUCCGCAAUGGGCGAAAGCCUGACGCAGCGACGCCGCGUGGGUGAUGAAGGCCUUC
rnacentral:rRNA from 1 species